rnacentral:misc_RNA from 1 species
GUGUCCAAUUGAAAAAACUUAUAUAGCUUUAAUUCCAUCUUGAACACAACUAAUAUUACUCUUUUCUCAGAAUUCUUUAUCUGCAUCACAGACUUCCAUUGCAACAAUCAUAACCCAGAUGGAUAAUUCAAGAAUUUUUUGGCAAACAUAUAAACAACAUGAUCUCUUUCUAAGGUUGUUGCACUGUUAGGGCUGCUAAAUUCAAAAGAUAAAACUAUUUACAUA